ACGUUUCCUGGUUACGGGUUUCGCUGGGCUAAACAAACCUUGAUCGUCCAUUUUUUUGUUUUUUUUUUUGUUUCGCAGUGCACCGAGUUUUGUAGUACAGUAUUUGAUAUCGCUAUUUCCGUAACUUACAUUGUAUAAUCCAGUUUUAUUUUGGGAAGAUACUAAUACUAAAUAAUCUAUUUACCAUAUAUCAUAGAGUAAGCAGUCAGCGCAGGGAUUGCGUUCAGAAAAUGGUCCAGUAUUUUGUUUCUCAGAUUGCAAUCAUCAGUGUCAGAUGUAAACCAUUUUAGAUUCUCCUGAAGACCUAAUGGAGAAAAAGGAUGGAUAAAGCUGGCCCGAUUCAGAUUAAUGUUACAGUAGUACUUUUU